GACGAACGCUGGCGGCGUGCUUAACACAUGCAAGUCGAACGGAAAGGCCCUGCUUUUGUGGGGUGCUCGAGUGGCGAACGGGUGUGUAACACGUGAGUAACCUGCCCUUGACUUUGGGAUAACUUCAGGAAACUGGGGCUAAUACCUGCUAGGAGCUCCUGCUGCAUGGUGGGGGUUGGAAAGUUUCGGCGGUUGGGGAUGGACUUGCGGCUUAUCAGCUUGUUGGUGGGGUAGUGGCUUACCAAGGCAUUGACGGGUAGCCGGCCUGAGAGGGUGGCCGGCCACAUGAGGACUGAGAUACGGCGCAGACUCGUACGGGAGGCAGCAGUGGGGAAUAUUGCACAAUGAGCGGAAGCCUGAUGCAGCAACGCCGCGUGCGGGAUGACGGCCUUCGGGUUGUAAACCGCUUUCGCCUGUGACGAAGCGUGAGUGACGGUAAUGGGUAAAGAAGCACCGGCUAACUACGUG
rnacentral:rRNA from 1 species